UUGGGCCCCGAGGCGGCGCCGCUGGGUCUUAGCGCUGGGUCUUAGCACGCCUCGCGAAGGCGGGUGCGACGCCCCACCCAGCGCAGGGCGGGAGGAAAGGCGGUGACGCUGGGCCCUGCGCGCUCGGCCAGGGCUGGGAAAUACCUCCUGGCCGCCUCCCUUCGGGCCAGGUGCCCCGUAGGUCCGUCAGCAGGCGCCCGGGCACGCGAGAGGCCGUGCAGACGCGGCUAGUGGCCACAAAAGCAAGGACUUAGACCCGGGAUGGCUGGAGGGUACCCUGUCGCUGCAGCCAGCGCGGAUCCUGGGACGCUACCCUCGCGGUGACCCAGCAGGCUCCCGAGCCCUGGGAGCGGAGAGACUCAUCUCUAGGAAGCACACACCCACUCGCGCGCGUCUCCGUAACCAGAGCCAGUGACUUAGCACAGCUGCCCGCUGACCGUCAUCGAGGUCGGCGCUUGGCAGACAUAUUGACUGACCACAGCUGGACUACACCUGGACUGGCAUCGGCACUCCACAAUUUGAUGAGGCUGUUCUCCACCCGUCAGUUAUGUGAGGUCAGUGAUAGGGUGCACGUUUGCAGAGCAGAGGAAUUACUGAUAGUAUCAGCUGACCUUGUGGACUCUGGCUGCUUGGGACUGCUGCAGUCAGAGGAGCCAGCAGCACAGAGGACAGCUACAAGCCCUCCCAAAGCCUCACCAACACCAUCUCUGACUCUGGAGCAAGUGCCUUGAGGCAAUAGCUCUCUGGUGUGAAAUUGUGGGUGAGCACAUGGGCAGAAUGACAAACUGAUCACAAAAGCCACACGCUUACCCUCUGUCCCUGAUGCUUAGCUUGUCGAGUGCAGCCUCUCAGAGGCAUGGCCAGUUUGAAGUGGCCCACAGUCUUGCCACUCAGACCCACCUGUGGGCAGUGAGCUGCUACUGAUCUGAGAUGCCACAAGACCCAUCUCCCUACUUGGGAUGACUGCCAGCACUUCCUUCUGACCCUCUUCAAUACUGAAGAAUGCCUGAGAAAUACUCUCAGAGAGUCAAAUUUAUGAGAAUGGUCUACAACAGGAGGGGCCAAAAAUCCCAUGCCUGGAUGGAAACUGGGAAAGAGGAAAUAUAUGAAUGUGUAUGUAUGCAAAAUAAAGUGCAUGAGUCUAAGGUCAUCUGGACUCAGCUGAGAAA